rnacentral:rRNA from 1 species
UACGUAGGGGGCAAGCGUUGUCCGGAUUUAUUGGGCGUAAAGCGCGUGUAGGCGGCCACGCAGGUCCGUUGUGAAAACUGAAGGCUUAACCUUCAGACGUCGACGGAAACCGUGUGGCUAGAGUCCGGAAGAGGAGAGUGGAAUUCCUGGUGUAGCGGUGAAAUGCGCAGAUAUCAGGAAGAACACCAAUGGCGAAGGCGGCUUUCUGGACGACAACUGACGCUGAGACGCGAAAGCGUGGGGAGCAAACAGG